UACGUAGGGGCCUAGCGUUGUCCGGAUUUAUUGGGCGUAAAGAGCUCGUAGGCGGCUUGGUAAGUCAGGUGUGAAAUCUCCACGCUCAACGUGGAGGGGCCACCCGAAACUGCCAUGGCUUGAGUCCGGUAGGGGAGUGUGGAAUUCCCGGUGUAGCGGUGAAAUGCGCAGAUAUCAGGAGGAACACCGGUGGCGAAGGCGGGUCUCUGGGCCGUAACUGACGCUGAGGAGCGAAAGCGUGGGGAGCGAACAGG
rnacentral:rRNA from 1 species